CUUUUCAGUGAAUAAUGCAAAAAUUGGCCAUUUUCGUAAAUAUACUUGGAAAUGGGCCUUUAUAGGUAAAUUAGUUGAAAGAAACAUAGCAUACAAUAACUAAAAUAAAAAAAAAUAGCAAAAAAAGACAAACAAACCCUAAAUGAAAAAUCGAUAAGACAUAAAACAAAAACCCAACCACAAACGAAGAGCCAUCCCCGGCCAAAACCGAACAUGCAAGAAGAAGAAAAGCUCACAAAGCAACCAUCCGAUGCCAGUAAAGAGAAAAAAAAAUUUGGCAUCUACAACAGUCUCCAACAACCCGCCGUCCGUUCCGUACCAACUGAUGAGAAGAAGCACACCAACAAACCGAGGUCUGAAACAAGCACCACAACCGAAAAAACCCAAUCCAAACCACCCCCUACGCCAUCUAUCCCGACACAAGUCACCCACACCCUAGAAACCCCACACCGAGCCAAAAGCCAGGGGUGAACACCUCAACUACCCCCUUUCACUUUCCACGAUGUCCAGAAUAGCCAACGGACCAUCCUCGACCCACCAAGUAGCACAUCGACGACGAAAACCUUCUCUCACGAACAGACGUCACGGCAAAGUGACAUGGUAGAUGACGGCGUGCUUGGUGUCAAGAAAUCCUCUAGCUGGCCAGUUACCACCAAUUUAACAGCUCUAUCAGUACCAAUUUAGGGUUUAAGAGGAGAAAAAGAAGAAAAAGAAGAGGAGAAGAAAAAGAAGAAGAAGGAGAAGAGAAAAAAUGGAGAUGCCUCCAGUUUUCAAAUCAAUCCCAUAUUGCAUCUCUGCAAGUGAUUCCUCCAAACUCCUCCUCUUUCUAUUUUUAUAUCUCUAGUAGCUUUUCUUUUAUUCCAACUAAAGCCCUAAACUCACCCACCUUGCUUCUUUCUUACUUUUUAUAUAUGGAAUCUGGGUUUUUACUUUUAUCAAAUCAAUGACUAAAAACUGCAGUUAACAUUAUAGAUUGAUAAUUUAUUUUCAUAAAUAAUUUAAACGAAAAUUAUGUAGUAAGGUGAGGUAUGAAAUUGGGUUUAAUUGAGGUUGAGCUACAAAAUCUUCAAUAUUUGAAAAUUUAGAUUCUUUAUACUUGAUGGGUUUGUGCCUUUGUGUAUUCUUUUUAGUUAUAUACAUUCAUUUUCAGAAAAUUUUAUGGAAAUAACAAAUAGAUUGAAUUCCUUUUUUAUUUAUGGAUAAACAAUGAUCAAGCACUGUGAACGAGAUGAGAAGAAGAAAUAAAAGGACAGAGGAAAAGAGCCAAGAAGAAGAAGAAGAGGAAGAAGAAGAAGGGCAAAGACAUGGUGUUUCAAUGGCAAAGAAUCAGACCCCGCCAACAUAGGCAAAGAAAACUUUUUUUUUUACAGUCUCUUCUUCUUCUCUUCUGUUAUUAAGGGGUUUUUUUUUCAAUUUCUUCUUAAAUUGGGUGGGUUUCUACUAUGGACAUCUAACGCGGCAAGUUAACUGGUCACAUUAGUAGUUAACUUGCCACAUCAGCGGUCCCAUUAAGAUGCUAACGGAAACUAUUAAUCAGUGGCUGUUUUGUCAUUUUUUUAUAACGUUAGUGACUGUUUUGUUAUUUUUUAAAAGUUGAGUGACUGAAAUGAAACUUAGAUAAUUGUUUUAUUAGCUACCUCAAAA